rnacentral:rRNA from 1 species
AUGAGAACAUACCCAAUAAAACAAAAACAAUGGUUGCACAAAUUUGAAAUGUGCAGCUACCGUAGAUUGAAAAUGCACCGCAUAUGGGAAAAAAGAAAUGAUUCCUUUCUUAAAAAAUUGAUUGCAGUAAAAAAUAAAUCAACUGGAAUAAAAAAACAGAGCUCACUGGCAGGAAAAAAAAUUACAGUCUACCGAUGUCCAGCAAAUCCGUUAUAUUUUGGAUUCGAAUACCUAGUGAAUGUUAGAUUUUUAGCCAUGGCAAAUCGAACGUCAUGGCAAAUUAUUUUUACCGAGGGUGAUAAGAACGUUCAAUUUGCCAUGCCUAAAAAUUUGACAUCAGAUUUUUUGCAUUUCCAUAUUUUUUUUUGUUUCUUACAUGUGCUUUCUUGGUUGGCCCUGCUUCAAUCAUUUUUGCCAAUCAAACAACUAAUUGUUGUUUCACCGAAAAGAAUAUAG